AAUUCUCAACCUUUACCUGCUUUUGUUAGCCGGGUGAGGCUUGGAUGUUGAGGGCUUGCUGGCUUCCUUCAGUGGAUGGUCUGCUCCCUUUAAAUGCAUUAGUGGGAUCCUUUGUGGACGGUCACUUGGUGUAAUAAUUAUCUACGCCGCCUGGCUGCGAAGCAAGACUUGUGGGAGCCUGCUUAUAACCGUCUCUCUCUUUGAGACAAUUUACUUGACU
rnacentral:misc_RNA from 1 species